CCUCUCUCCACGUCCACGGCGCCGAGUCUCGCCACGGUGGCGCAGGCGCCAGGGAGGUUCCCCGGCUUUGCCGCGCGGAGGAAGUCCCGGUUACGCAGAGCGCGCUGGGGCAGGGCUGACCUUCCCCUUUCUCUACUUCACUGGCCUCCUCCAGACGUGGUGGUUGCGCCCUUUCGGCCUCGCUUUCCGUUUUUUGGCUUCAUCCCCUAGAUCUGCAAACAGUUCCUCGUGUUUCUUCCGUUAGCCGGGAAACGCGAACUGCAGCGUUUGGGACCCGGGUUUGCGCGUGUGGAAAGCAAAAGGGGUUACUCUGCUGGAGUUCGACAUUGCAAAUAAAGGUCUUUAUCCCCGGCGGUUCUACAAAAUUAGUUCUGCAGGGAUUCUGGUUGAAAGAAGCGUUAAAGUGGGCCUUGUAGGAGUCAGCAAUAAUCCAAUUUUACAUGGGUGCAGGUGGCUGCCUGUGUCUAGCGCUUUCACACAUCUCAUAUCUUCAUCCACGCCGUGGGUAUUUUUUUUCCACGGUGUGUUUCUGUUGCUGCCUCCAGUAUAUUGCUUAAUCAUCCUACCUGGUAAUUAUUUAUGCAUUUUUCUCCUACUCUCGACUCAGCUCCUAGGGAAUAAAAACACAUUAACUUAUCUUUGUGCCCACAGCACCCACCAAGUAUUUCCAUCACGUAAUACUGCCUCUAGAAAGGCAGGAGGAGAAGCAGUCACGCUAAGGAUCUAGGCAAGCCAGAUCUUUUGUCCGGUUUUAGGAGGUGGCCAGCCCUUACUUAUUCCACAAGUGUUUUUCCAGAAACUCAGACUUGAUAUUGCCUCAAGUCCAAGGCAGUGUGCUUCCCCCACUCACAUAUCACUAAUAGUAGCUAACAUUUGUUCAGAUCCCUGUAUGUACUCUGCCACUGUUUUAAAUGUUACACCCGGGUUACCUCAUUUAAUCCUUACAACUGCCCUGUGAGGUAGGUACUAUUAUUAUCUCUACUUUGUAGAUGGGAUUCACCGAGGCACAGACGGUUAAAAAACCUAGCCCAAAUAACACAAAUAAACAGCAGAGCAUGCAGUGCUAGAGUCUGCAUUCUUAACAAUUGCUAUAUUCUCCCUCUCCGUGAAUGUGGGCUGAGAUGCUGAAACAGGCAUGUGCUGUGGGGGAGAAAAAGCUUUGUCCAACCAAGUGCUUUCUAAUGUCCAGAUGACAUAGAGCUAGGAUUUCCUAAUGUCUUUUUUCCCCUAUUUUUCUCUCCAUUUCAGGGUUGAGUUUGUGCAUCGAUUGUGAACACAACAGGCAGCAGGCUAUAAUGGUGGUCCUGGCUGGAGUAGUUUUCACAGACUUCAGUAAUCUGUGGAGAUGAACGGGCAGUUCUCUGUAGUUUUCACAGAUCACUGCCAGUUCGUUUUGAGGCCUUCAGGAGUGAAGACCUGGCUCAUCAUCACUCUUUGUUGUUUUGUUAAAUUUAUUUACACCCUACUUUAUUCCAGAGGAAAGGAUUUAACGUAGUUUACAUAAAUGUGUACAUCAGGGUAAAUUAAAAAUAAGUACAGAGAAAAAUAGGACAAAAGAAAACCGUGAGUGUGAAAGAUAAGAUUAAGCCAGCAGUUUUGUAUGCAAAAUGCAUGGUGUAAGGUCCUAUUGGUUUGCUGGAGGUAGGCCACACAUAUGACUCUCAGUUUUCUAGCAACCAAGAAAAAGAUCAGUUGCAAUCGGAGUAGGUGUUUUGGCUAAGCUGGAACUAGGACUUGAAUAUAGCAGCUUGUAGAGUUAUACCACUUGCCCAAAUCUCUUCCAUGAGCCUCUUUAAGUGUAACAGAAUGCCUGGGAGCACGUAAAUGCUCCUACUUAGAUGCCUACUUAGCCUCUAAUUUUCAUGGGGCCCAUGAAUCCCAUGAAAAAGAACUUUGAACCCUGUCCACAAUUAGAGUUCAGGUAUACGCAGACAUGUUUAAAGACAAGGGACACCCAAAGGAAAGAUUGCACAGAGAGAAAGUGAGCAUCCGAGAGAAAAUCACCACAAGUGAGGCAGAGGGAGGCCGGUCUCAGCAGAGUUUUGGAGGUCGUGAGAAGAAGAGGUAGGAGAUAGGAGAGUGGUUCCGAGUACUUGCCUGCUGAUGUUACCUUCUCCACCCCCACCAGGUUUUCCAGUGCCUGGAGUCUUGGGCAGGAAUGGGCCACUGUAAGAAAGAGCUUUAUCACUAGGGCCUCAGCCAACUUUUCUGUGGGAUAUCCCUCCAAAAUAAUUAAGAGUUCAGAAUGCUUCAGAUUUUGAAGUGAAACUGGUACAUAUAUUAAGUGUUACUUAAUAACCCGAUAGUUUCUAGGGCAGCUCACCAUAAUCCCAAGUAUUAGCCACCACCCUCACCCCCUUCAGAGUAAAAUGUGUUUCCUGAAGGAAGUUGGGAAAAUGAAGAAAAAAAAUACAAAAAUCACCUAUAAUCUUACCAGUCAUAGAUGGCAGUUUUCCUGUCUUAUUUCUGAAUAAUGGUUGUUAAACAUUUGCCAGCACACCAUAAGGCUUAGGGAGGCAUCUGGGUCAUGCAUGUUAAUAUCCUUGGGUAAUUCCAGAAAUCUCUAUGAAGGGAAACUCCUGUUAUUUAUCUAGACUUCCUGAUUGCAAGGGGUUUGGGCAUCAUGAUUUAGGGGUCUUAAUAAAAUUAUUAUUUUAUUUUUACUAAUAGAUAAUGUCUGUGCCUAUCAGAUAAAGGCAAACCAGUGCUCAGAGGAACCCAACCAUCUCUGAAUUGAGACCAGAGAGCUGUCUCUAUGGAUAGUCCUUAGAGAAGGCAUUUCGGAACACAGUAAACAGCAGCCUGGUGACUCCGAUUACAGGGCCAGUUGCCUUUGUUACAAUAAAAGCAAGUCAUCUACACAGAUUUUUCCUACCAGGAAGAGCAUGUGCUGACCAACAGACAUGAAUUUCAGCCUGGUAGUUACAACAUUCACAGACAAACUGCGGCCUGGACCAGCUGGUGAAACAUAAUUCUGAAUCCUGCCCACAGCCUUCGGUGGUUUUGGAUGAAAGGCCAGCGCCUUGGGAGCCCUGCGUUUGAUUUCAAGUUUUAAGGCCGGCACUGGUGGAGCAAUGAAUGGUGAAAGCUCUCCCCUUAAAGGAGCACAGUUGCCUUUAGGUGACUGCUAACUCAGGCUUUUGCUGAGGACAGUGUUUACUUUGUGAGCUUAAUGACAGGGCUGGCUUUCUGGGAGUGUUGCAAUGAAACAGACUCAGACACAGGCCAUCAUGGGCCUCCUCCCUAGCAAGGCCGCCACGGCUGGCAUCUCAAGAGCAGUCCGUUGAACUUGGGAUUUGGGUGUGAGACACAGUUUCAUCAGAAGAAUUUAAACCAAAGUCUACAUUUGCCCUCUAGAUAAAUGUGUGUGUUCAGCAGCAACCACAA
rnacentral:lncRNA from 1 species